rnacentral:rRNA from 1 species
UACAGAGGGUGCGAGCGUUGUCCGGAAUCACUGGGCGUAAAGGGCGCGUAGGCGGCUCAGUAAGGUUGCGGUGAAAGCCCGGGGCUCAACCCCGGGUCGGCCGUGGCAACUGCUGGGCUGGAGCACUGUAGAGGCAGGUGGAAUUCCGGGUGUAGCGGUGGAAUGCGUAGAGAUCCGGAAGAACACCGACGGCGAAGGCAGCUCGCUGGGACGGUACUGACGCUGAGGCGCGAAAGCGUGGGGAGCGAACAGG